rnacentral:lncRNA from 1 species
GUACACUUUUAAUAACUAGCAGUCAGGAGGGAGAGGUAGGUACAUCAAUAUUAGUCCAAGGCAAGCUUGGUGCAUAUUCAGAGUUUCAGGCUAGCCAGGACAGUGGGACCUUUUUAAAAUUGCUUUUUACAGCCCCCCUUUGGGAAACCAAAAGGCUGACUAGCAAGAAUUACACACGUGACCUCGCCCUGGGAAACACUCUUGCCGAUUACGGUCCGCUUCACCCCUCCUGUUGAGAUCUGGUUUCUCUAUGUCUCCAAUUAUAUUUUAGAUUUUGUCUUUCUUGAACUCCUGCCACCAACUCCAAGUGUCCACCGUUGCCUGCUUGGCUUACUGUAACAGCCUCAGUGUUUCCACCCACUUCUGUCUUCAUCUAAAUCAUCAUUUCAUAGCCAGGGACACUUCCUACAGUCCAAAGUAAAAUCAUUAUCUCCCGUCUAUAAAGGCUCCUCAAUAUUUUUCACCGAAUUCGGAGGAACAUGAACCUUUCUUCCUAUGUCCUCAAAGGCUGGACCUUUCUGUCUUCUGAAGCUUUGCCAUUUAGGCAGCACUUGACGUCCUUCUGUGCCGCGAAUCUGCUGAGCAUGUUCCUGUUCAUAUUUUCUUCUGCCUUGUUCCACAUCCCACGGCAUUAUCCUCGUUGUAGUUUAAAGGUGCCCUUCUUACAGAGACCUUUUCUGGUCAUGUGCCCACCCCCACCCCAAGAAGUUUCCUCUUCUGUGACGAAUUAAAUAUGAAACGCCUUCUGUAGGCUUGUAUGUUUGAACAUCUACUCCCAAGUAAGUGGCACUGUUUUCGAAGGUUGGAGAACCUUUAAGAGGUGGAGCCUCAUUGGAGGAAGUGAGUCACUAGGGGUCGGCCUUGAGGCUUGAUAACUUGGUCUCACUUCCGGUUAUGCUCGGCUUGCGGAGGUAACAUGGCGGACUGUCUCGUGCUACUGUUUCCAAGAGGUCCUCACUACAGUGAACUGUAUCCCCUCAACCGGAAGUCAAAACAAACCCCUCCUCCUGGGGUGCGUCUCUCUGGGUCUUGCCUAAGAAAUCUUCCCCUUUCUCAUGCCGUGAAAGGAUUUUCAGGAAAUUUUACCUCAAGAAAUACGUUGGUUUCAUUGAAGUUUUCUGACUUGGGUCAGAAUUUUGCUCAUUGUUUUAUGUCUGUUAUGGCCAAGCAUUUGAGGCUAGCUUCGACUGAAUGAGACUGCAUUUCAAACAACAACAACAACAACAAAGAGCUUUUGGCGGUCACAGGUUUUGGGGCUCAAGCUGAGGUGGUCAGGCUUGGGGGAAUCAUAUCUUUUCCCUGGUGAAGCUGAGCCUUUUGCCUGUCUUGUAGUGAUUACUUUUAAUUGCCAACUGACAAUCUAGAAGCAGCUGGGGAAAGAGUCCCGGUGAGGGAUUGUCUAGAGCAGGGUGGCCUGUGGGCGUGUCUGUGGGACAUUAUCUUCAUCAUAUUAACUGCAGUGGGAAGCCCCGCUCACUGUGAGUUGACAGGAUCCAGACUUGUGUGACAGCAGGGAAGUGGGACCGAGUACCGCUGGGCAGACAUUCACUGUUCUCUGUUCCUGGUUAUGGAAGUGAUGAGGCUAUUUCCUCAGAGCUCCUAAUUCUGAUCUCCCACAAUGAUGGACAAUAAUCUAGAGGUGCGAGCUAAAUAAACG